UCAGCCGCGCCCCGUGGCUUUGACGAAGCGGGAAGAGGCUCGCCGAAAUGAGACGAGUACGCGUCAAGCUCUGCCAAGGUUUCACGCAGCAGCGAUUGCUUUCGCUGC
rnacentral:SRP_RNA from 13 species